rnacentral:rRNA from 1 species
UGAAUACGAGACGCUAAGGCGUCGAAGUAGUGUAUGUCAUACUUCCAAGAAAAGCUUGCACUGUCAUAGAUAAAAAACGCCUGUACCAUAACCGACACAGGUGGGUAGGUAGAGUAUACUAAGGGGCGCGAGAUAACUCUCUCUAAGGAACUCGGCAAAAUAACUCCGUAACUUCGGGAGAAGGAGUGCCUUAUUCGUAAGGUUGCAAUAACAAGAUCCAAGCAACUGUUUAUCAAAAACACAGGUCUCCGCUAAGUCGUAAGACGAUGUAUGGGGGCUGACGCCUGCCCAGUGCCAUAAGGUUAAAGAAGUUGGUUAGCAAUUGCGAAGCUGAUAACUGAAGCCCUGGUGAACGGCGGCCGUAACAAUAACGGUCCUAAGGUAGCGAAAUUCCUUGUCGGGUAAGUUCCGACCCGCACGAAAGGCGUAAUGAUUUGGAUACUGUCUCGGAGAGGGGCUCGGUGAAAUAGACUUGUCUGUGAAGAUGCGGACUACCUGCACCAGGACAGAAAGACCCUAUGAAGCUUUACUGUAACUUGAAAUUGAAAUUGGACUUUAUUCGCGCAGUAUAGGUGGGAGGCGUUGAUUAUAAUCUUGUGGGAUUAUUGGAGCCAUCAGUGAGAUACCACUCUUGUAAUGUUAGAUUUCUAACUUUGAAUCAUUAUCUGGUCAAAGAACAGUUUCAGGCGGGCAGUUUGACUGGGGCGGUCGCCUCCUAAACGGUAACGGAGGCGUACAAAGGUUUCCUCUGAACGGUUAGAAAUCGUAUCUAGAGUGUAAAGGCAUAAGGAAGCUUGACUGUGAGACCUACAAGUCGAGCAGGGACGAAAGUCGGUCUUAGUGAUCUGACGGUACUGAGUGGAAAGGCCGUCACUCAACGGAUAAAAGUUACUCUAGGAUAACAGGCUGAUCUCCCCCAAGAGUUCACAUCGACGGGGAGGUUUGGCACCUCGAUGUCGGCUCAUCGCAUCCUGGGGCGGUAGUACGUCCCAAGGGUUGGGCUGUUCGCCCAUGAAAGCGGUACGCGAGCUGGGUUCAGAACGUCGUGAGACAGUUCGGUCCAUAUCCGGUGUAGGCGUUAGAAUAUUGAGAGGAGCCUUCUUUAGUACGAGAGGACCGAGAAGGACAUACCUCUGGUGUACCAGUUAUCGUACCAACGGUAAACGCUGGGUAGCUAUGUAUGGAGUGGAUAACCGCUGAAAGCAUCUAAGUGGGAAGCCCACCUCAAGAUAAGUAUUCCC